AUGGUUAAGUGACUAAGCGUACACGGUGGAUGCCUUGGCAGUCAGAGGCGAUGAAAGACGUAGUAACUUGCGAUAAGCCCAGAUUAGGUAGUAACAACCAUUUGAGUCUGGGAUUUCUGAAUGGGGAAACCCACUUACAUAAGUAAGUAUCAUUAACUGAAUACAUAGGUUAAUGAGGCGAACCGGGGGAACUGAAACAUCUAAGUACCCCGAGGAAAAGAAAUCAACCGAGAUUCCGAAAGUAGCGGCGAGCGAAAUUGGACUAGCCCUUAAGCUUUACACGCGUUAGACGAACGGUCUGGAAAGUCCGACGAUACAGGGUGAUAGUCCCGUAGUUGACGACGUGUGUUCAGUGAAAUCGAGUAGGGCGGGACACGUGAUAUCCUGUCUGAAUAUGGGGGGACCAUCCUCCAAGGCUAAAUACUACUGACUGACCGAUAGUGAACCAGUACCGUGAGGGAAAGGCGAAAAGAACCCCUGUGAGGGGAGUGAAAUAGAACCUGAAACCGUG
rnacentral:rRNA from 1 species